AGAAACUUUCUUUGGUAGAGGCUAUGGUUCCGAUUGGCAAUGUGGUUGAAAUAUUUAGCAUAGUUACCCAAAAUCUGAUCUUUUUUUGUGACCUUGAGUAUUACAUGACUUUACCAGGUGAUAGGAAUCCUAUGAAACUUAACCCAAAGCCACCUACUGACUGCCCUCUCUACUCCCAUUUUAACAAAUCUAAAAUACCAACUCCUUGCUAUGACCUGACCCUUUCACAUGAUGGAGCCUCUGUCUGACACUCAAUGCAUCCCAUGUUCUCUGCCCUACUCACUGUGCUCCUGCCUCUUGGGUUCCCCCCACCCCCAGGUGUUUCCUGUCUCAGGGCCUUUGCACUUGCUCUUCAUUCUGCUUGGAACUCUUCCCUAGAUCAUCACACAAGGAGAACCUCCUUUUCACCCUUUGGUUCUCAACUAAAACAUCACCUUCCUUGGAGAGGGCUUCUCAUGGUCCCCACCCCUUCCUAACAUUUAUCAUCAACUAAAAUUGUCUGGUAUAUAUGCUUGUUCAUUCUCCACCUCCUCUAUUAGAAGAUACUCUCUAGAAGGGCAGGGAACGUCUCUGGCUCAUCCUCUGCUGAGACAUCAGAAUCUAGAGCAUUAUUUAGGAUCAUAGUUGCUCAAUACAUUUCUGAACAAGUGUAGGGAUGAACAGGAAGGCUUGUGGGCAAAGUUUGUGCAAGAUUUUUUCUAUAGUAAAAGAGAAAAAUAUUUUUCUAUAGUAAAUAACCCUCUUCAGUUAUUUACUACUAUACUGUUUCCUGAGCAAAAAGCAAAAAGGAGACAGUCUAGCCAGGUAUACGCCCACGGUGCCUAACAGAGGCCUCUGCAUCAUCUACUCUUUCCUAGACUCCUGCCCCACCCAUUUCUGACUCCACCCUUCCUCCUGACAGCCCAGGGCAGUGGGAGACCUCAGCAGGCUUUCUUUUUCCCUGUUGUCUGGGGCCACCCUGACCCUACUAUAGGUCCAUGGAUACAUGCCAAUCAGGAACUGCAUGUGUAUCAAGUACAACCUGGAAUAAGAAAGAGCACUAUUAAUAGAUGCAAACUAUUGCCUUUGGAAUGGAUCAGCAAUGAGAUCCUGCUGUGUAGCACUGGGAACUAUGUCUAGUCACUUAGGAUGGAGCAUGAUAAUGUAAGAAAAAGGAAUGUAUAUGUGUAUGUGUGACGGGGUCACCUUGCUGCACAGUAGAAAACUGACAGAACAUUGUAAACCAGCUAUGAUGAAAAAAAUAAAAAUCAUUUAAAAAAUAAAAAUAAAGAGGACUAACCAGAGCUUAGUAUCGCUGGACUUCUCCCCGUCUCACUGUCCUUUGUGCAUGUACAGACGUGGGCCAGGCCCUUUACUCAUGCUGGGGAUGUAAAGCUUCCUGACGGGUAUCUUUGGAUGCAAACAAACGCCAAAGGCAGAGUUUGCAAAGAGAUUUAUAUUUGCAUCUGUCAGAAUGGUCACUUGCCAAGUGAUGUUUGCAUUCCAUAAUUCCGCCCCUUCACAUCUAAAUCCAUUACACCCACUGUGGGCUGGGUGGCUGAGGACUCAGCACUUGAUCUUAGCCAAAAGACUGAGAAACGAUGGCUGAGGACUCAGAGAACCACUGACACUGAUCAAAUCCAGGGGUCUAAAUCCCUUAGAAAUUGUAAGGCCUUUGUCCGGGACCAUCAGAGCUGUUCUGCCAGAAUCUGAGAAAUACUUUAGGGGCCCUUCGUACAGCCCGUUGGCCCAGCAGGAGCAUCGUGUCCAUACAGUCCUGAAGAUGGAUUGCCUGUUCAUCCAGCCAAUGAAGCUUUAUUAUGCAUUUGUCUGGUCGAGAAGAGAUAAAAAGCGUGGAUCAGACAGAGUGAAAUGUGGCCAACGUUUGGCAAGGGCUUUCCAGGGAAAAUAAAAGGUCUUAACAAAGAGUGGCUUGCAGGUUCAGAUCUCCUAGGAGAGAGAAUUUGGUGUCCAUAAUCGGACGUCUUCUAUCAAGUAUUAGGUUCACAAAGUGGGCAGGCCACUUUCUGGAAGCCCAGCCCCUGAGGACAGGGAGUCACUGUGUUCACCGUUGGUGGGGCUGCCCCAGGGGACUGGGGCGACCUGAAGACCAGACCUGGCCGAAGCCCAGCAUGUCGGAGAGCAAUGAGCUCUCCCAGAAAAGGGGAGGGCCAAGCCCCUGAGAGUCUGGAAACACAAAGGGGCCACUGUCGUUGCUGACGAGGACAAGAAACCCCCUGCAGCCUCCUGCUUUUACUCCAACAUUGAGCAGUAAACUCAUCUCUAUGCCUUUACUAGUAAAAAUCUGGCCAGUUUCAGAAUCAGAUAACAUGAGUUCGGAUGCAUUUGAAAGUCAGGAGAUAAAUGGGAAAGGACAAAGGUGUAGUUACAUCAAGAAGGCUACCUGGGCUGGGAAUUUGGUGGUUUUGAGGGGGAUUCAGUUCUUCAUUUCCUGGCACGUCAAUGUUUAUCUCUUUUCCUUUGUGGGGGAGGGUGAGGAUGCGGGGGUGUUACAGUGACUCAUUUGCACACUGGGUCAGGCAGUCCUUUCGGGAUUGUGAUAACCAUUUAGAAACAAGGUGAAGGCAAUCUGAAGCCAAUUUUGCCAAUCGAACUAUAGUGUUUCGCUCAUAAGGUGUUUUUCUAAAUUAAAUCAAAUCAGUACACAUUUGCCAAGCACCUGCCUGUCAAGUGAGAGGCUAAUGCACAAUAAUGAACGGGGUUUGAAAUGCAAGGAAAUGAAAAGCGAACCAGCAGCCUAGAGAUUAUGGUUAAUCUUUUCCGAAUUGUCUCCACCGAGUUAGAGACGGUAAGUGAUCUAACUUACUAACAGUCAAAAAGGAGACUUUUCCUGGGAAAGCUCCCUCAAGAUAGCCAAAACACAUAUUUUGAUUUGGGAGAAAACAGAAGUUAAAAUGAAUGAAAAAACUGACCUUCACAUUCAGAUGCUAGGUAAGUCAAAUAACCUCAAGAAAAGUCCUGAACAUUUGCUAUGUGGUAGGUACGGGUUUUAUGAAAUUAAAAACCUGUGGCUGGCAUUCAUGAGCGCAAAUGUAAAUAUAUAUUAUUCUGUGAAAAAUAGGCAUUACACUGUGCAAAAAAAAAAGUUCAUUUGUCCUCAAACCUCUUUUUUGUUGUUGUUAUUGUUGUUUAGGGAUGCUAGAUGGAGAGAAAUUUAAAAAUUGUUGUAUCUGAAGUCCAUGAGUUUGUCAGUCUGUCAUGGGUCUUUGUGCAUCAAAUGAAGAAAUGUGGACAGAGUGAUGGUAUAGCAGGUGGAUUUAUAUGGUUGAUUGUCAAUACCCUAGCAGCAGUGAUGAAUUAAUUGAUGGCUGCUGCAUCCUAGAAGGUUCUUGAAGGCACCAAAGCUAUUGGGCUAAUUGAAAUACCACAUACCAUUGUUUUGGCGUUGUAUGGACUUCACCCCACCAACACUAGUUAAGAAAAGCAGGAAAGGAUAUUGGGAGUGCAUGUAAUUCACUGACUCCUCCAGUUUCGUUAAAUUCUGUCCUUCAAUCAGAUUAGGCCACCAGAAGUCCAGGCAUGCGGUCUUCUAGUGGCUCCUGGGGCACACUGAAUUAGCUUCUCAAAAAAUGGCCUUCACUGGCCCCAGAGGACUCUGGGAGGCAAGGCUUCCAGUUAAAAAAAAAAAAAAAAAAA
rnacentral:lncRNA from 1 species